rnacentral:lncRNA from 1 species
GGAUUUAAUAAGGCCACAGUGCCUAAUCCUUCUCCUCCUUUCAGACAAAGAGUCAAUUUUGAUCAAGCCAGAGGGCCUUUAUUCUGUAGAUACUGUAAAUAAUCUGGGCACUUAAUUGAUAAGUGUUUCAAGAUUCAUGGGUAUCCACAAAGUACAAUAUUUAACAAGGGAGGAGAACUGUUGCUGCUCAUCUUACUGCUGGUGUGGAUUUCCCUCCUUCUGAAGGACAUAUGUCUGUUCCCCAAUUGAUCAAUUGAUGAGCUAAUUACAACAGACCCAGUUAGGGGACUCCACUACUCAGACUCCUCCUCCCAUGUAUGCUGCUAACUUUGCUGGUACUAUGCUAACUGAGAGCCCUA